UCAGGAUGAACGCUAGCUACAGGCUAACACAUGCAAGUCGAGGGGCAUCAUGGAGUUGCUGCAAACUCUGAUGGCGACCGGCGCACGGGUGAGUAACGCGUAUCCAACCUUCCCUAUAGUAGAGGAUAGCCCGGCGAAAGUCGGAUUAAUACUCUAUGUUUUCCGUUGCAGACAUCUAAGAUGGAACAAAGGCUUGCCGCUAUAGGAUGGGGAUGCGUCUGAUUAGGUAGUCGGCGGGGUAACGGCCCACCGAGCCAUCGAUCAGUAGGGGUUCUGAGAGGAAGGUCCCCCACAUUGGAACUGAGACACGGUCCAAACUCCUACGGGAGGCAGCAGUGAGGAAUAUUGGUCAAUGGGCGAGAGCCUGAACCAGCCAAGUAGCGUGCAAGGGAUGACGGCCCUAUGGGUUGUAAACUGCUUUUAUGCGGGGAUAAAGUUCGCUACGUGUAGUGUUUUGUAGGUACCGCAUGAAUAAGGACCGGCUAAUUCCGUGCCAGCAGCAGC
rnacentral:rRNA from 1 species